GAUGAACGCUGGCUGUGUGGAUAAGGCAUGCAAGUCGAACGCAUUUAGUUGCGUGGCGAACGAGGUAGUAACACGUAGGACUACAAACCCCAAAGUCAGGGAUAACCUGGAGAAAUUCAGAAUAAUACCUGAUAGUUCCCGCAAGGGUAAAGAUUUAUCGCUUUGGGAUUGGCCUGCGGAGUAUCAGCUUGUUGGUAGUGUAAUGGACUACCAAGGCUAUGACGCUUAGGGGAGGUGAGAGCCUGACCCCCACCGAUGGGACUGAGACACGGCCCAUACUCCUACGGGAGGCCGCAGUCGAGAAUCUUCCACAAUGGACGAAAGUCUGAUGGAGCGACACAGCGUGGUCGACGAAGCGCUUAGGCGUGUAAAGACCUUUUAUAAGUGAAGAAUUUUAUUGACAUUAGCUUAUGAAUAAGGGGCUGCUAAUCACG
rnacentral:rRNA from 1 species